AGAGUUUGGUCCCAGCUCAGGAUGAACGCUAGCGGUGCGCCUAACACAUGUAAGUCGUGCGUUCGAGCCGAACUGAGUCUCCUUCGGGAGACAAUGAUUGGUGACGGAGCGGCGGACGGGUGAGUAACACGUGGCUAACCUACCUUCUUGACGGGGACAACCACCCGAAAGGGCGGCUAAUACCCGAUGUUGUCUGGAACCGAUGGGUUCCUUUCCAAAGGCGGUCUUGCCGCCGCAAGGGGAUGGGGCUGCGCCCUAUUAGCUAGUUGGUGAGGUAACGGCUCACCAAGGCUGCGAUGGGUAGCUGGUCUGAGAGGACGACCAGCCACAUUGGGACUGAGAUACGGCCCAGACUCCUACGGGAGGCAGCAGUGGGGAAUCUUGGCCAAUGGACGAAAGUCUGAGCCAGCGACACCGCGUGGGGGAUGAAGGCCUUCGGGUCGUAAACCUCUUUUCUGGGGAAAGAAUAUGACGGGAGGAAAUGCCCGCUCGAUGACGGUACUCCAGGAAUAAGCAUCGGCUAACUCUGUGCCAGCAGCCGCGGUAAGACAGAGGAUGCAAGCGUUAUCCGGAAUUACUGGGCGUAAAGGGCGUCUAGGCGGUUCGGUAAGUCGUUUGUGAAAUCCCUCGGCUCAACCGAGGAGAGUCUUGCGAUACUGCCGAGCUUGGGUGCAGGAGAGGAGGGUGGAACUCACAGAGUAGCGGUGGAAUGCGUUGAUACUGUGAGGUACCCCGAUGGCGAAGGCAACCCUCUGGCCUGCUACCGACGCUGAAGCGCGAAAGCGUGGGGAGCAAAGGGGAUUAGAUACCCCCGUAGUCCACGCCCUAAACAAUGUUCACUUGGUGUCGGCCGCUCAUACUGGUCGGUGCCGAAGCUAACGCGUUAAGUGAACCGCCUGAGGAGUACGGCCGCAAGGCUAAAACUCAAGAGAAUUGACGGGUCCCUGCACAAGCGGUGGAGCACGUGGUUUAAUUCGACGAUAAACGAAGAACCUCACCCAGGCUUGACAUACUAGUGGUAGGAACCUGAAAGGGAGACGACCCUGCCUUCGGGUAGGGAGCUAGUACAGGUGAUGCAUGGCUGUCGUCAGCUCGUGUCGUGGGAUGUUGGGUUCAGUCCCGAAACGAGCGCAACCCUUGUCGUUAGUUGCCAGCGGGUAAUGCCGGGGACUCUAACGAGACUGCUGGUGAAUAGCCGGAGGAAGGCGGGGAUGACGUCAAGUCAUCAUGUCCCUUACGCCUGGGGCGACACACAUGCUACAAUGGGGGGUACAGAGGGUCGCAAUCCCGUAAGGGGGAGCCAAUCCAUAAAAGCCCCUCUCAGUUCGGAUUGAGGUCUGCAACUCGACCUCAUGAAGCCGGAAUCGCUAGUAAUCGCGGGUCAGCCAUACCGCGGUGAAUAUGUACUCAGGGAUUGUACACACCGCCCGUCACACCAACCGAGUGGGGGGUACCUGAAGUCGCUCUUCUAAGGGCGCCUAAGGUAACUUCCGCAAGAGGGGUGAAGUCGCAACAAGGUA
rnacentral:rRNA from 1 species